rnacentral:rRNA from 1 species
UACGUAGGGCGCAAGCGUUAUCCGGAAUUAUUGGGCGUAAAGAGCUCGUAGGCGGUUUGUCGCGUCUGCCGUGAAAAGUCCGGGGCUCAACUCCGGAUCUGCGGUGGGUACGGGCAGACUAGAGUGAUGUAGGGGGAGACUGGAAUUCCUGGUGUAGCGGUGAAAUGCGCAGAUAUCAGGAGGAACACCGGUGGCGAAGGCGGGGUCUCUGGGCAGUAACUGACGCUGAGGAGCGAAAGCGUGGGGGAGCGAACAGG